rnacentral:rRNA from 11 species
UAAAUUGGACUCAAUACCCUGAAGGUAGAAGAUCCUGUCUGAUCUUGGAAGCUAAGCAGGGUUAGUCCUGGAUAGUACUUGGAUGAGAGACCACCAAUGAGUGCUAUAGGCUAUCUUUUAG